rnacentral:rRNA from 1 species
UACGUAGGGGGGCUAGCGUUGUCCGGAAUCAUUGGGCGUAAAGCGCGUGUAGGCGGUUCGGUAAGUCCGCUGUGAAAGUCGGGGGGCUCAACCCUCGGAUGCCGGUGGAUACUGUCGGACUAGAGUACGGAAGAGGCGAGUGGAAUUCCUGGUGUAGCGGUGAAAUGCGCAGAUAUCAGGAGGAACACCGAUUGCGAAGGCAGCUCGCUGGGACGUUACUGACGCUGAGACGCGAAAGCGUGGGGAGCAAACAGG